GGUGGUGCAUGGUUGUCGUCAGCUCGUGUCGUGAGAUGUUGGGUUAAGUCCCGCAACGAGCGCAACCCUUAUUAUCAGUUGCCAGCAUUAAGUUGGGCACUCUGGUGAGACUGCCGGUGACAAACCGGAGGAAAGUGGGGAUGACGUCAAAUCAUCAUGCCCCUUAUGACCUGGGCUACACACGUGCUACAAUGGAUGGUACAACGAGUUGCGAACUCGCGAGAGUAAGCUAAUCUCUUAAAGCCAUUCUCAGUUCGGAUUGUAGGCUGCAACUCGCCUACAUGAAGUCGGAAUCGCUAGUAAUCGCGGAUCAGCAUGCCGCGGUGAAUACGUUCCCGGGUCUUGUACACACC
rnacentral:rRNA from 1 species